rfam:Pseudonocardia sp. HH130630-07 plasmid pLS2-1, complete sequence.
CUUGAGCGAGCCGAGCCACAACGGCUGCUCCCGGUCGCGCCCGUACGUGGCGAGCAGGGCCUGCGCCUC